GGUACGCGCCGCGUAUGCGCGCUGGAGAAGCUACGUGAGGCGAAGGCGAGGGGGCGGUACCGUGGGCGCGCCAAUUAGUGCCCUACGGCAAGCGCCUAGACCCAACGGCGGCGACUACAGGUCCCGACGCGCAUUGUUGCCAAAAGCCCUUUUAUCCUAAAGUUGAACGGUUUUGAGAUAGACGCGGAGAGAUGCAUGCCGGGACUUGUAGUCCCUAGUCGUCAUAGUCAAGCUCUUCUUCCGGUCACUUUCGGUGGGCGGCAGGGAAGGUCAAGGAAACACGCGGACCCCAACACUUUGUUGGAGCCCUCUUGCAGGGCUUGCUUCUGCACAGCUAAACAGAUGGACCAGCUGCACAGGAUGGAGGUUGGUGACAAGCCGGCGCGGUGGCUCAAGCCUGUAAUCCCAGCA